rnacentral:piRNA from 1 species
AGGACUGCGCUGCAAAACCCGCA